rnacentral:rRNA from 1 species
GUGCCAGCCGCCGCGGUAAUACAGAGGGGGCAAGCGUUAUUCGGAAUUAUUGGGCGUAAAGGGCGCGUAGGCGGCCUGGCAAGUGGAAGGUGAAAUCCCUCGGCUUAACCGAGGAACUGCCCUCCAAACUGCUUGGCUUGAGUCCGGGAGAGGUGAGUGGAAUUCCCAGUGUAGCGGUGAAAUGCGUAGAUAUUGGGAGGAACACCAGUGGCGAAGGCGGCUCACUGGACCGGAACUGACGCUGAGGCGCGAAAGCGUGGGGAGCAAACGGGAUUAGAUACCCCCGUAGUCC